UGCAGAGAUCAGCCACGGUUGAGAUGAGUAAUCAGAGUGGGGAUGCUGUACGGGAAUAACCCGUGGACCCAAGGGAUUAACAGACUUUGAGAGGAAUUGGAUUCCUGGAGGCGAGAUCAAAGACUGGCUCUGUCACAGAGGCAAUUGUGAGAUGAGAGGCACCAACGCCCCCCCUGGGGCACAGUCAAGCAAGUGAAGAAGGCUGGCAGACAACAGUCAAUCAGGUGAUCAAAGUGAACAUCAGGAUGCAAUUGGAACGAGUAUUAUCCCUGAUAUUCCUGCCAAAGGGCCAGCGAUGUGACUGUCAGAAAGAACCUUGCCAAGAACUCGGAAAGAAAGGGAAAAAAAUGUCUUUUAGAAGUUUAACUGUGAAACCAGCACCUAUUGGAUUAGGGCAGAGGAACGAGAAAUCACCGCAAAGGGACAAAAAUGCUUCUAAGCCAGCAAGAGUUGGCUGUGACUCUACUAAAGGUAUAAAACACACAUCUAAAGGCUAUAUUAGUCAGUCAUGGAGUCAUGGAAGAAGGGUUGCUCAGACAGACUUGAGCAGUACUCACCAAGGGUCCAUUCUGAGUG